GGGAAAUCAACAGCUGCAGCUUGUUUAUCUGAAGCACUUAGACAAACGGAACCAGAACCAUCUGUUAGAACUAUAGAUGAAACUUCAUUUCAUCUUAGUCGCAACCAAAGCUAUGCGAACAUGACCGAGGAAAAGAAUUUAAGAGGUGUAUUGAGGUCUGAAGUUGACAGAUCUUUGUCAAAGGACAGUAUAGUUAUAGUGGAUUCUCUUAAUAGCAUCAAGGGCUAUAGAUACGAGUUAUGGUGUUUGGCUAGAGCAGCAGGGAUUAGAUAUUGUGUUGUCCAUUGUGACGUUGAUGAGCAAUCUUGUAGAACAUGGAACGUCGAACGUUGUGAGAGAGGAGAACCGUCUUACGAUGAUAAUAUAUUUGAAGAUCUUGUAAGAAGGUUUGAAAGGCCAGAUAGCAAAAAUAGAUGGGAUUCUCCAUUAUUCGAGUUAUGGCCAGCUAAAGAAGGAAUUGAUAAAUCAUCUACAGCUAUGGUUGAUGCUGUUACCUAUCUUACGAAAAAAGUAGACUCGAAAACGAGAGAUGUUAAGAUCCUACAGCCGACCAUCGCGACACAGACUGCACGUGGUUCUGAGGCCAAUUCUUUAUAUGAGAUGGACAGGGCGACGCAAGAAAUUACAAAUGCUAUCGUGGAAGCACAGUCCCGCGCUCUUGGGGGUCCUCUCAAUGGUGUGUCUCUUGGUCCAGGAAUACCAACUAUAGAUAUUUCGAGAUCUGUCAGCCUGCCAGAGCUCCGUAGGCUACGACGAACUUUCAUCAAACUUGCUGGACAGACGAGCUUGAGCGGGCCACCUCCGCCUUCAGAUGCUGAUAGUGCAAAAAGGAUGUUUGUUGAUUACUUAAACAGAGAACUAGGAAGUGGUUGAAAAAUUAUGUUACAAUGAAGGUACACAUGGAGGUUUGAUAGUUUUGACGGGUAUAAAUGGGCUACGUGAGUAACUAUAAGGGCAUUUUUGGACCAAACUGCGAUGGUGGUUACGAGUAAUCCUACUUUUUUUUUCAAUAAUCAAGGGAAAUUAUAUU
rnacentral:misc_RNA from 1 species